AUUUUCUUUCCUUUCAAUAUCGACAUUAGGCCCCCGAACUUUUCCUUAUUACAAUUGGUCCCUCAACUUUCUUAAUUACUUACAAUUCCAUCCAGCAAAAUUCCAAUUUAACCCCUAAACUUUCCUUUAGCCUUUCAAUUAAGCCCUUAACUAAUUAAUUUGGGCCAAAUCCGAAUUAUUGAAAAUACACAAUUACAAAAAUACCCCUGACCGACAUAUUUAUUUACAAAAAU
rnacentral:lncRNA from 1 species